UCAAACUUGGUCAUUUAGAGGAAGUAAAAGUCGUAACAAGGUUUCCGUAGGUGAACCUGCGGAAGGAUCAUUACUGAAUUAUCGAAGGUUGAGCUGGCUUUGCAAGUGCUCGCCUUCAAAUUCAUCUUUAACCAUUGUGAACUGUAGUAGACUAUGAUACCUCUCAAUUGGCUUGCAAUUGGAUUGAAGGGUUGCGUUUCGCUCUCCUUCAACUUCAUAGUCUCCCCCUUUAUCCCUUUAAACAAAGUCGUAGAAUGUCUUGUUUUAGGUGUAACAACCUAUAAACUCUAUACAACUUUCAGCAACGGAUCUCUUGGCUCUCGCAUCGAUGAAGAACGCAGC
rnacentral:misc_RNA from 1 species